rnacentral:rRNA from 1 species
AUUGAACGCUGGCGGCAUGCCUUACACAUGCAAGUCGAACGGCAGCACGGGGCAACCUGGUGGCGAGUGGCGAACGGGUGAGUAAUGCAUCGGAACGUACCUUUCAGUGGGGGAUAACGUAGCGAAAGUUACGCUAAUACCGCAUAUUCUGUGAGCAGGAAAGCAGGGGAUCGCAAGACCUUGCGCUGAUUGAGCGGCCGAUGUCAGAUUAGCUAGUUGGUGAGGUAAAGGCUCACCAAGGCGACGAUCUGUAGCGGGUCUGAGAGGAUGAUCCGCCACACUGGAGCUGAGACACGGUCCAGACUCCUACGGGAGGCAGCAGUGGGGAAUUUUGGACAAUGGGGGCAACCCUGAUCCAGCCAUGCCGCGUGAGUGAAGAAGGCCUUCGGGUUGUAAAGCUCUUUCGGCCGGGAAGAAAUCGCACGGGCUAAUACCCUGUGUGGAUGACGGUACCGGAAUAAGAAGCACCGGCUAACUACGAGCCAGCCGCCGCGGUAAAAC